rnacentral:rRNA from 1 species
GGAAUAUUGCACAAUGGGGGAAACCCUGAUGCAGCGACGCCGCGUGAGUGAAGAAGUAUCUCGGUACGUAAAGCUCUAUCAGCAGGGAAGAAAAUGACGGUACCUGACUAAGAAGACCCGGCUAACUAUGUGCAAGCAGCCGCGGUAAUACGUAGGGGGCAAGCGUUAUCCGGAUUUACUGGGUGUAAAGGGAGCGUAGACGGUUAAGUAAGUCUGGAGUGAAAGGCUGGGGCCCAACCCCGGGACUGCUCUGGAAACUAUUUAACUUGAGUGCAGGAGAGGUAAGCGGAAUUCCUAGUGUAGCGGUGAAAUGCGUAGAUAUUAGGAGGAACACCAGUGGCGAAGGCGGCUUACUGGACUGUAACUGACGUUGAGGCUCGAAAGCGUGGGGAGCAAAC